UACGUAGGGUGCAAGCGUUAAUCGGAAUUACUGGGCGUAAAGCGCACGUAGGCGGCUUGGUAUGUCGGGUGUGAAAUCCCCGGGCUCAACCUGGGAACUGCAUCCGAAACUGCCUUGCUAGAGUAUGGGAGAGGGAAGUGGAAUUUCCGGUGUAGCGGUGAAAUGCGUAGAUAUCGGGAGGAACAUCAGUGGCGAAGGCGACUUCCUGGACCAAUACUGACGCUCAGGUGCGAAAGCGUGGGGAGCAAACAGG
rnacentral:rRNA from 1 species